ensembl:lncRNA
GCUUUCGUGGCUUUGGGCUCCACCCCUCGGACGGUUGAGCGAACGGGCCCGCGCCUUCCUCCCAGUCUUCGGGGCCGCACGUCCCCAGGAACUCUUUGUUCAGUAUCUAGCCACCUAUUCCUACCGACAUGGCAGUGGAAGAGAAAAGAAAGCUCUCACUUACAGUGAUUUAUCAAACACUGCAGAGGAGUCGGAAACUUUUCAGUUUCUUGCAGACAUAUUACCAAAGAAGAUUUUAGCUAGUAAAUAUCUGAAAAUGCUUAAAGAGAAGAGGGGAGAAGAGGAGGAGAAUGACGACGACGACGAUGAGAGUGAUGAUGAAGCGGAAUCCUAAGCCAAAAAGAAAUGCGUUAGUGACCGGCCGGGGAGCACGGCUCCGGGAUGAACACCUUUGCUCCGAGCAAGCGUCUGCUCACUCUCGAGACACCCCAGGGACACCACGUUCCUUCCUGGCUGAGAUGGGGCGUGAGGUGCCUCUGCUGUAAAUAGCCCAAAGCAGAGCGUCUCUUUCCCAGGCCCACGCUGCAACCGGAGUGGGGGUCCAAACAAGGGGCUGCGAGCUGGGGUCACAGCCAGUCUGCAGCUCUAAGCCGUUGAGGCCAAGGCAGCUUUGCUUAGCUUUGUAGCUUACAGAUAGAUUUUGAAGAACUUCUAAAUAUCAGUUGUAUAAAUUCACAUGUGUAUAUUUUGAAAUUAGUUUUUGUAAACAGCCAGAUCCGGUUUUAGCUAAAAUACGUGGUCUAUGGGUAGUAUGUUACAUCUGAAUUUUUGUAUUUCAAGAAAAUUUGUUUGGCUUUGUAUUUGUUCAAAUAUUGCAUUUUUUUAAACUGUAAAGAAAUAACUUUUUAAAUUAAAAGCUAGACUUUUUACAGUAAAGUGUUUUAUGGAACUAGUUUUAUUAAAACCCUUUAUUAUUCUAAUGCCUUGGUUAUUCUGAGACAUUUGUGAAAUAUAAAAAUAAGCACUUUCUCUUACAUUUAUUCCUGAAGAAAAAUUUUAAGCGAAAUUAUUAAGUCAGAUACAAUAAGAAAUAGUACUUCUGCAUAGUGUAUUUUUCUUUCCUUUUUUUUUUUUUUUUUUUUUCUUUUUAGGGCCACCCCUGAAGCAUGCGGAAGUUCCCAGGCUAGGGGUCAAAUCAGAGCUGCAGCUGCCAGCCUACACCACAGCCACAGCAACUCGGGAUCCGAGCCUCAUCUUCAACCUACACCACAGCUCAUGGCAAUGCCAGAUCCUUAACCCACUGAGCAAGACCAGGGAUCGAACCUGCAUCCUCAUGGACACUAGUCAGGUUUUACUUCUGAGCUACGAUGGAAACUCUCUCUUUUUUUUUUUUUUUUUAUUUUCCCACUGUACAGCAAGGGGGUCAGGUACAGCAAGGGGGUCAGGGGAAACUCUCUUAAGUGUACUUUUCUUAAAAAACAUUUAAGACAUUUUGUAUAUCGGGGAAUCUCUACACUUACUGUUCCUUUCUUUACACUCUCGGGAAUCGUUUUUACUGUCCACAAGAGAAGACACUAAGCACUAUUUUUUUUUCGCAUAGGGUUAAAUUUUGUCUCUCUUUUUAAAAAAACUGAGUUCUGAUUUCCCUCCAGUGAAAUCUUUUGGUUUUUUUUUUUUUUUUGCUUUUUAGGGCCACACCCGAGGCAUAUCAGAGUUCCCAGGCUAGGGGUCAAAUCAGAGCUACAGCUGCCAGUCUACACCACAGCUCACGGCAACGCCAGAUCCUUAACCCACUGAGCAAGGCCGGGGAUUGAACCGGCAACCUCAUGGUUCCUAGUCAGAUUUGUUUCUGAUGCGCCAUGACGGGAACUCCGGUGAAAUCACUCUUUAAUGUCCGUUCUCUUGGCUGUGUAAGCAGUCAGUAUACAGGACAGUUCCAUCACCCCAAAUACUCCUCUUUACCCCUUGUUAGUUCCUCCCCUCACCCCAGGCAAUCACUAAUGUUUUCUGGACGUUUUAAAAUUUAUUUAAAAUAUUUUGAAAUCCACUUUUUGGGGGGAGUUCCUGCUAUGGCGCAGAGGAUCUGGCGUUGCUGCAGCUGUGGCAUAGAACCACUUUUUGGGAGUUCCUUGUGGCUCAGCAGGUUAAGGAUCUGGUUGUUAACUGGAGUGGCUUUUGGUUGCUGCUGUGGCAUGGUUGGACCCCUGGCUCAGGAACUUCCAUAUGCUGUGGGUGGAGCAAAAAAAAAAAAGCAUGUAAUUAUCAGAGUUGUGAUUAAAAAAAUACAUC